rnacentral:rRNA from 1 species
UGAUUAAAGUGGCGCACGGGUGAGUAACACGUAGGUGACCUGCCCUUUAGUGGGGGACAACCCGAGGAAACUCGGGCUAAUACCGCAUAAGCUGAACUUAUUUGAAGAGAGUUCAGGAAAGAUUUAUCGCUAAAGGAAGGGCUUGCGGAUCAUUAGCUUGUUGGUGGGGUAAAGGCCUACCAAGGCGACGAUGAUUAACUGGUCUGAGAGGAUGAUCAGUCACACUGGAACUGAGACACGGUCCAGACUCC